rnacentral:rRNA from 1 species
UAGGGAAUCUCCGGCAAUGGGGGGAACCCUGACCGAGCAACGCCGCGUGAGUGAAGAAGGUUUUCGGAUCGUAAAGCUCUGUUGUUAAGGAAGAACGAGUGUGAGAAUGGAAAGUUCAUGCUGUGACGGUACUUAACCAGAAAGGGACGGCUAACUACGUGCCAGCAGCCGCGGUAAUACGUAGGUCCCGAGCGUUGUCCGGAUUUAUUGGGCGUAAAGCGAGCGCAGGCGGUUAGAAAAGUCUGAAGUGAAAGGCAGUGGCUCAACCAUUGUAGGCUUUGGAAACUGUUUAACUUGAGUGCAGAAGGGGAGAGUGGAAUUCCAUGUGUAGCGGUGAAAUGCGUAGAUAUAUGGAGGAACACCGGUGGCGAAAGCGGCUCUCUGGUCUGUAACUGACGCUGAGGCUCGAAAGCGUGGGGAGCGAACAGG